rnacentral:rRNA from 1 species
UUUGGCAAAUCCGGAAAAUCAAGGCUGAGGCGUGAUGACGAGGCACUACGGUGCUGAAGCAACAAAUGCCCUGCUUCCAGGAAAAGCCUCUAAGCAUCAGGUAACAUCAAACCGUACCCCAAACCGACACAGGUGGUCAGGUAGAGAAUACCAAGGCGCUUGAGAGAACUCGGGUGAAGGAACUAGGCAAAAUGGUGCCGUAACUUCGGGAGAAGGCACGCUGAUAUGUAGGUGAGGUCCCUCGCGGAUGGAGCUGAAAUCAGUCGAAGAUACCAGCUGGCUGCAACUGUUUAUUAAAAACACAGCACUGUGCAAACACGAAAGUGGACGUAUACGGUGUGACGCCUGCCCGGUGCCGGAAGGUUAAUUGAUGGGGUUAGCGCAAGCGAAGCUCUUGAUCGAAGCCCCGGUAAACGGCGGCCGUAACGAUAACGGUCCUAAGGUAGCGAAAUUCCUUGUCGGGUAAGUUCCGACCUGCACGAAUGGCGUAAUGAUGGCCAGGCUGUCUCCACCCGAGACUCAGUGAAAUUGAACUCGCUGUGAAGAUGCAGUGUACCCGCGGCAAGACGGAAAGACCCCGUGAACCUUUACUAUAGCUUGACACUGAACAUUGAGCCUUGAUGUGUAGGAUAGGUGGGAGGCUUUGAAGUGUGGACGCCAGUCUGCAUGGAGCCGACCUUGAAAUACCACCCUUUAAUGUUUGAUGUUCUAACGUUGACCCGUAAUCCGGGUUGCGGACAGUGUCUGGUGGGUAGUUUGACUGGGGCGGUCUCCUCCUAAAGAGUAACGGAGGAGCACGAAGGUUGGCUAAUCCUGGUCGGACAUCAGGAGGUUAGUGCAAUGGCAUAAGCCAGCUUGACUGCGAGCGUGACGGCGCGAGCAGGUGCGAAAGCAGGUCAUAGUGAUCCGGUGGUUCUGAAUGGAAGGGCCAUCGCUCAACGGAUAAAAGGUACUCCGGGGAUAACAGGCUGAUACCGCCCAAGAGUUCAUAUCGACGGCGGUGUUUGGCACCUCGAUGUCGGCUCAUCACAUCCUGGGGCUGAAGUAGGUCCCAAGGGUAUGGCUGUUCGCCAUUUAAAGUGGUACGCGAGCUGGGUUUAGAACGUCGUGAGACAGUUCGGUCCCUAUCUGCCGUGGGCGCUGGAGAACUGAGGGGGGCUGCUCCUAGUACGAGAGGACCGGAGUGGACGCAUCACUGGUGUUCGGGUUGUCAUGCCAAUGGCACUGCCCGGUAGCUAAAUGCGGAAGAGAUAAGUGCUGAAAGCAUCUAAGCACGAAACUUGCCCCGAGAUGAGUUCUCCCUGACCCUUUAAGGGUCCUGAAGGAACGUUGAAGACGACGACGUUGAUAGGCCGGGUGUGUAAGCGCAGCGAUGCGUUGAGCUAACCGGUACUAAUGAACCGU